UGGGUUGUGGCUCAGCGGUAGAGCGUUUGCCUAGCAUGUGUGACGCCCUGGGUUCGAUUCUCAGCACCACAU
rfam:Ictidomys tridecemlineatus contig065887, whole genome shotgun sequence.